GCCGGGGUGGCCGAGCGGCCCAAGGCGCGGGCCUGGAGUAGGCCCAGAAAGUCCGUCCCCGCAAGGGGGCGUGGGUUCAAAUCCCACCCCCGGCGCCA
rnacentral:tRNA from 1 species